rnacentral:rRNA from 1 species
AUGUCCACGACGAGCACUUGCGGGCUAUGUGGUGCAGAAGACUCAUGGCUUCAUUCUCUAUUUGAGUGUUCCAUGGCACGGUGCAUCUGGGCGUUGGUCGAUGGAGAACUGGCAGAACAUCUAUGUGGAAGAACUGAGCCGAACGCAAAGCAAUGUAUUUUCUCCAUGUUGGACUCGGUAUCGCAUGCAGCGUUUAUCCGGUUGGCAGUGACACUAUUGGCAAUUUGGUGGGCGAGGAGGAAGGCAAUACAUGAUGAAAUAUUUCAAAGCCCCUCGCCCACUCACCAGUUCAUCACACGUUUUAUUUCUGAGCUUGAGAUGUUACCAACCAACGCAAAGAUAACACGAGGUGUGCAAAUUCCAGCAAGGGUCAGACCAAAGGCUUGUCGGCCAUGUUUCUUGAAGGUCCAUGUAGAUGUUGCAGUAUCAAGGGCUCAUAACAAAGGAGCUGCCGCGGCGGUUUGUCGAGAUGACAUGGGAAAUUGUUGGUAG